rnacentral:rRNA from 1 species
ACCGGAUAGGACGAAAGUUUAAAGGUGCUUCGGCACCACUGAUGGAUGAGCCUGCGGCGCAUUAGCUAGUUGGUAGGGUAAAGGCCUACCAAGGCGACGAUGCGUAGCCGACCUGAGAGGGUGAACGGCCACACUGGGACUGAGACACGGCCCAGACUCCUACGGGAGGCAGCAGUAGGGAAUCUUCGGCAAUGGGCGAAAGCCUGACCGAGCAACGCCGCGUGAAUGAUGAAGGCCUUCGGGUUGUAAAAUUCUGUUAUAAGGGAAGAAUGGCUCUAGUAGGAAAUGGCUAGAGUGUGACGGUACCUUAUGAGAAAGCCACGGCUAACUACGUGCCAGCAGCCGCGGUAAUACGUAGGUGGCGAGCGUUAUCCGGAAUUAUUGGGCGUAAAGAGCGCGCAGGUGGUUGAUUAAGUCUGAUGCGAAAGCCCACGGCUUAACCGUGGAGGGUCAUUGGAAACUGGUCAACUUGAGUGCAGAAGAGGGAAGUGGAAUUCCAUGUGUAGCGGUGAAGUGCGUAGAGAUAUGGAGGAACACCAGUGG